rnacentral:rRNA from 1 species
CCCUUAGGUGUUCUGGGCCGCACGCGCGCUACACUGAUGCAUGCAGCAAGUCUUUUCCUUGGCCGAGAGGCCUGGGCAAUCUUUGAAUAUGCAUCGUGAUGGGGAUAGACGAUUGCAAUUAUUCGUCUUCAACGAGGAAUUCCUAGUAAACGCAAGUCAUCAGCUUGCAUUGAUUACGUCCCUGCCCUUUGUACACACCGCCCGUCGCACCUACCGAUUGAAUGGUCCGGUGAAGGCUCCGGAGGCGUCUUUCUCAAUGUUUAUUCGGCGAGAUUGGUGCCAAAGUUGAAUGAACCUUACCAUUUAGAGGAAGGUGAAGUCGUAACA